rnacentral:tRNA from 1 species
GGCCGAGUGGCGGAAUUGGUAUACGCGUUCGACUUAAAAUCGAAUGGAAUCUUCCAUACGGGUUCAAGUCCCGUCUCGGCUACCA